GUGGAUUAGAUACCCUGGUAGUCCACGCCGUAAACGAUGAUAACGAGCUGUCAGGGCUCUUGGAGUUUUGGUGGCGCAGCUAACGCAUUAAGUUAUCCGCCUGGGGAGUACGGCCGCAAGGUUAAAACUCAAAGAAAUUGACGGGGGCCUGCACAAGCGGUGGAGCAUGUGGUUUAAUUCGAAGCAACGCGCAGAACCUUACCAGCGUUUGACAUGGUAGGACGGUUUCUGGAGACAGAUUCCUUCCCUUACGGGACCUACACACAGGUGCUGCACGUCCGUCGUCAGCU
rnacentral:rRNA from 1 species